rnacentral:rRNA from 1 species
UAAUACGAAGGGGGCAAGCGUUGUUCGGAUUUACUGGGCGUAAAGGGCGCGCAGGCGGACCAAUAAGUCGUCUGUGAAAUCUGUCGGCUCAACCAACAGCCUGCAGACGAAACUAUUGGUCUUGAGUACGGGAGAGGAGAGCGGAAUCUCUGGUGUAGCGGUGAAAUGCGUAGAUAUCAGAGAGAACACCGGUGGCGAAGGCGGCUCUCUAGCCCGAUACUGACGCUGAGGCGCGAAAGCUAGGGGAGCGAACGGGAUUAGAUACCCCGGUAGUCCUAGCCGUAAACGAUGGGUACUAGGUGUUGGAGGUAUUGACCCCUUCAGUGCCGCAGCUAACGCAUUAAGUACCCCGCCUGGGGAGUACGGUCGCAAGGCUG